UACGUAGGGUGCGAGCGUUAAUCGGAAUUACUGGGCGUAAAGCGUGCGCAGGCGGUUUUGCAAGCCGGAUGUGAAAUCCCCGGGCUUAACCUGGGAAUGGCAUUUGGGACUGCAAGGCUGGAGUGCGGCAGAGGAGACUGGAAUUCCUGGUGUAGCAGUGAAAUGCGUAGAUAUCAGGAGGAACACCUGCGGUGUAGACGGCUUACUGGACCAUCACUGACGCUGAGGCACGAAAGCGUGGGUAGCAAACAGG
rnacentral:rRNA from 1 species